UUGACUUUUGACUCGAUGGUCUCACAAAUACUAUACAUUACAAUACGAAUGUUUAAAGACACAAAAUGUAUGACUAGUGCUGUCACGCAGUACCACAUUUGUGGUUUUUAUUCUUGCUUUACUGUUUUUGUUUUUGAUCGUCUCUUAACAAUUUGAAUGUAAAGCACUUGAAUGAAGUUAUUCUCAUGUAGUAAUUCUACAUAUUUAACAAUUAAAACUGGAGAAAUGACCUUUCAGUAACGUCCGAAAAUAGUUGCUGGACACAAAUCUGUAAAAUUACAUUUACAACGAAUAGUAAUCUGCAAUUUAUCCAGUUUAAAAUACUGCAUAGAUGGCAUACAACACAAUUUAAUACGUACAAAAUGGGGUUUUCCCCAAUCCAAUAAAUGUCCAAGCUGUCAGGAGAAUAGUCCAGAUACAUAUUUGCAUGCUAUUUGGCAGAGUGUACCUGUACAGCAUGUCUGGCUUGGGGUAAUAGUGAUGCACGAUAAUACAGUUUUCAACCGAUAACCGAUAAUUUCCUCGUUCCAACCGAGAAUGUCAAGCCGAUAAUUCUGUUAAAAGAUUUAUGUAAAAUUAUAAGGUAUUAACAAGAGAAAAUAUUACUGUGCAAAAUUAUAAUUUAUUGCUUUUUUUUUCAACAUCAAAUGUGAACAAGUAGUAAAUUCCAACAUCUAAAUAAAGACCGAUUGUCUGACAUUGUGCAAUGGUAAACUUUUGGCAACAAUUACUUUCAGCGUAAAUAUCUAAAUUGUACAAAAAAGCCUUUAAAAGUAAGCCAUACCGAACAUAUAACAUUACUAUACUGCAAAAACACAACUCCUUAAAGAGGAACUGAAGAGCUUUCCGGAUUUUGGUGUAAUUUUAUGAAUAUAAACUUGGGACAAGUUCAUCAAAACAACCAUGACAUUAUCAACACGUAAUUGUAAGGAUAAUUUGCGUUUUUUUAGUUUUUUUGCACUCCGUUAAUGGUCCCUUCGCAAACCCGGAAGUGUGACGUAGGCAACAGAAGACUACCCACAGCUAACAUAGCAGCAACAACGAUGUCAGUGAUAUUUCCACCAAAGGUAACCAUUCAGGAUCGCUCUUUCGUGACGCUACCGAUGGCAAAGGCUCCCAGGAAAGAUGAAGUACAAUUAAUCCCUACAUGUUUGAACCUGAAGCGUCAGAUGACGGCGAUUUACUUGACACAGCAGAUGGCGUCAUGACGCCAAUUGACAGCUCGACACUUCACGAACGGGAGAGUGAGUGGUGUUGCUGUAAACCGUCAAGUAAUUACCCUUCCAAGAGUAUGCCUGUGUCAUCAGGAGAUCCCAGACGUGAGAGCCAAACUUGCGGAGGCUGAAGCACUGACAGGGGCAUGAAUUUCAUUAAAAAAAUAAAACCAUAAAUUGUUAACAAUAUUGACACAUUUUGUUGACUGUUUAAUGUAUUCUAUUGGUAUAUAAUAUAUUGUAAUUAUAUUACAUUCUGAAAAAAUAUUCAAUAGGCCGCAAUAAUAAAUGAUACCAGGUUUAUGUUGAAUCAGCAUUAGCUUUCGUUGUCAGAUUGUGACACAACAUGUUAUACCAAGCACACAACGGCACACAUCAAAGAGCAUAAUUUUAGUAAGCAACACAAAGUUAGGAUAGCAACGGACUAGCGCAACAUUGAAAAAUGAUAAUGGCAGUGGGAAAUAUGUAUUUACUCUUUUCUGUAGCAUGAAGUGUUCUCUAUACAAAGAUAAUGCAUUAUCAUUAAAAUAUGAAGGUAACUUGAUUUUUCUUUUAAAAAAUGUGUACUGUAUAUAUGACUAGUUUAUGAUUUCAUGUCAUCAAAAUUUGCUACAUUUAUUUCUCCUAAAUCAUCGUCAUCUGAUGUCGCAGACGGAAGAAAUUCAGCAUCUGGCAGGCCUCAUAGGAUCUCUUCAGUUGUCAUCGCUGGACACCGCAUCGCUUCGGUCAUCAUAUGACUCGACCCACUCUCUCUUGAUUUUGGGAAACUGGGUGGCAACUGACUUGCAACGCUUUUUUCAUCGUGUUGAGGGUUUCCGCCACUUAAUUUUUUAUGUUUGGCUUCCUGGAGGGAAAAAAAAAUCACAGCAGCAUGAAAAUAUUGGAUGAAUCCUAAUUUUAAUUUAAUAAUAAUUUCUUGGUGAUCAAAUAAUAAUGCCCCAGUCGUAGCAGCAUCUAUUUGAUGCUAUCGUUCCCUCUUCAAAUAGGCAGACCUUAAUGUUGAAAUAUAAAAAAACAACGAGCCAAGGACCUAUUUGGUGCUGGGGACAUUUGAAUUUACAUAACACCUAUUGAUAUAGUAAUAAAAUCACAUGAGUAGACGACAUGUCAGCCAACCUAUCUACUUAUGACAGGCCAACAGCAAAAAAAGAAAAAAAAAAAUGUCGCUUUCAACAAACUGACAGUAGGAGUCCCCCUCGUUUAUAUAUAAAAAAAAAAAAAAAGCCAUUAAUGUUCUACUUACGUCUUUGGAAAACCAAGGUUGCAUUGCUGUAGGUUUUCAAAGCUGUCGUGGCUGAAAUGAUGAAAACAAUGAGCCGAUUGGGGACCUGGAUGCAUGCUAACAAAAACGGUCCAAACCUUUGCAGGAGAAGUUUUUUUUUGGACCACUCCUAGAGUCUCAAGUCUUCCUGUGAGUAAUUCAUAUUGCUACACAUCGAGAUGGCAUGACGAAUCCCGCGAGUAAAACCCAGAAAAUGUUUGCAAUAUAUGGCGAGGAUAGCGUGGUGCUAUAUUUCCGUGUUCAGAGUGGUGGCGAGGCUUCCUGGAAGUUACGUCACGAGGUAGGGGUCGGCAGGACGGCGCGUCCCUCGUUGCUAUGGUGUUGCUAUGGCCAUAACUCAAAAACUACGCGGUCAAUUAUUAUUAUUAUUUUUUUUAUGUGACUUUUUGAGAGAGCGAAUGACGCAUUUAAUACAAUUCAACUGAGUAAAACACUUAAGAGCGAAAUCUGAAAACCUCUUCAGUUCCCCUUUAAAACUAGUUUUGAGUGUUAAUUUCACUUAUUUCCAAUAGAUUAUCUGCCAGCGCUUCAAGUAGGCCUGUCGCGAUAACAAAUUUUAGUGUUCGAUAAUUUAUCUCAUAAACUAUUGCGAUAUGCGAUAUUAUUGCCCCCCCAUUUAAAAAAAAAAAUAAAAAUU